ACGUGGUCAGGUCGUCUUUUGUCGGCGUAUUCUUGGCUUUCAGGCUUCGACGGGAUGGCGGCGUCUCGUUGAUAUGUCGUCGAGAUAGUCUUUUUGGCGUCUUCGUCGGCGGUGGAGGAUCUUUGUCAUUUUGAUGAACAGCAACUGCACCUCCCUAGGUUGCUGCUUUUAGUUUUCAGGAUAUGGGCUGAUGGACCAGCCCUGGGCUGGGCCAGUGUAUGGUCGGCACUGCAGCGACAGGUAGUGCCCUCGUGAUGGCGAAUGGGACGGUCAUCAAGGGCUCCACUGAGUGGCGGCGAGGUAGUCGGUGAUAUCACGAGGUUGUUCCCUUUGAUGUGGAGAUGGUGCAUUCACGGCAAACCCUUGU
rnacentral:lncRNA from 1 species